CCUACGGGGGGCAGCAGUAGGGAAUCUUCCACAAUGGACGAAAGUCUGAUGGAGCAACGCCGCGUGUGUGAUGAAGGGUUUCGGCUCGUAAAACACUGUUAUAAGAGAAGAAUGUCGGUGAGAGUAACUGUUCAUCGAGUGACGGUAUCUUAUCAGAAAGGGACGGCUAAAUACGUGCCAGCAGCCGCGGUAAUACGUAUGUCCCAAGCGUUAUCCGGAUUUAUUGGGCGUAAAGCGAGCGCAGGCGGUUAUUUAAGUCU
rnacentral:rRNA from 1 species